UAGAUUGAAGCCUGAUUUAAGGUAUCUAGCUGUUAACUAGAAAUUCGUAGGUUGGAAUCCUAUCAAUCUAG
rnacentral:tRNA from 1 species